AGGAACUGAGCUUGAUAGCGUCAGUUCGAAUUAUUUUUAGGUUAAAUUGAAGCGUAGUUCAAUAAAGGAGAAAUAUUAUAUAUAAUUACAACCUUAUUCACCUAAUUUAUAAGACAUGGCCUCCACAUUUUUACGCCAAUCAGUCACCUCUUCUUUCUGUGGAAGGUUGGCUUUGAAGUCAAUGGACUGUGAGUGUUUGGAGCCCAGAAGGACACUUAGCAAUUGCUCAGCCGACAGUUUCACUCUCUUCAGGUUUGGCCUCUUCAGCUUGCUCUUCAUGUCAUAGAUCUUCUGAUUCAUUU